UACAAAUGCAUAAAAAUCCAUAAGUGUUUUUAUUUGUUAACAAGUUAAUGAUUUUCAUUUGUUUAUUUUGAUGUGUUCAUGUUUUAUGCAUUUUUACAUAUACAUGUAUAUAUGACCAUUUAUGCUAUUUUGUUCAAAAAUAUGAGUUAGAACAUGUGUACUACAUAUUUUUUGUCAAAAAAAAAAAAAAGCAAAAAAUGAAACAUGUGAUAAUAUCCUUGAUAUUAUACAUGUAUUCCAAUCGGAUACACAUUAUUGAGGUUGUUUGCUUAUUUUAUUACAUAAUAGGAAUUUUUUUUUUACUAUUAUCUUUUUAUUCUAAAACUUUAAGUGGGUGGUCUUUACAUGGAAAAAAUUUGUUUAUUAGAUUAGAAAAAGAUGAAAGUGAAAAAAGUUAUAAGUUGUAUACAUUAAAAAAAAAGAUUGAUAAUACAUUAAUUCCAAAGGCUUACUUUUUUCACUUUUAUAUCGUUGGGUUGAUUGUUAACUUUUUUGUGUUAUUACAAGAUUUCAACGAAAACUACAAUAUUGAACAAAAUGUAUACCAAAUACUAUCAUCAACAAGUUGUUUGUUGCAAAUACAUUUGUUUAGAAGAUUGUUGGAGCAACUAUUUGUUAUAAGAACAACCAAAAAAUCAUUUAUGAAUAUCUGUUCGUAUUUAUUAGGGAUAAGCUUUUAUGUUAUAACACCUAUUUCUUUGCAUAGCGAUAAUGUAAAAAGGAUUAAUUCUGUUAAUUUAUUUGCUCUCAUAAUAUUUAUAACUGGAAAUAUACUUCAGUAUGAUUCGCAUGUUAGGUUGUCUAAACUUCGUUCUAAAGAUUUAAAAGAAGGUGAUGAUUUGUAUAAAGUCCCAUAUGGCGGGUUUUUUAAUUUUGUUAGUUGUCCUCAUUAUUUGGCAGAAAUAUUAAUUUAUUUUUCAUUUUUUAUAUGGAACUGGAAUAUUAUAAGUUCCCUAAAUUUUGUUUUCGUUUUAUUGGGUCUUAUCAAAAAUGGUAUACAAACGCAUACUUGGUAUCUCAAAGUGUUAGGAGAUGCAUACCCCAGGUAUCAAUAUACAAUAAAACAAAAAAAAAAAAAAAAAACAUAUAAACAUACACAUACAUCCACAUAGGUAUACAUACAUGUGUAUAAAUGUAUUAAGCCUCAGUUUUUUUACAAAUUUAAUCAUAACAAUAUGCUUACUCUUUUUUUCGUUUCGUUCAGAACUAGGAAAAUAAUAUUCCCCUACAUUUUAUAAGAAACUUUUUUAUUAAAAAAAAACAAAAAAAAAUUACAAUAACUAUUUUUGCACAAAUAGGAGUAAUUUAUAUUUUUGCCUUGUUUAUUGAUAUAUUUAAAAUGUUUUGAAAAACCGUAUUUUAUGUAUACAUUCCCAAGUAUUACACGUGAAAAAAAAUAAAAAUAAAUAAAUAAGUAAAAAAUAAAUAAGU
rnacentral:lncRNA from 1 species